rnacentral:rRNA from 1 species
GACGAACGCUGGCGGCGUGCCUAAUACAUGCAAGUAGAACGCACAGUUUAUACCGUAGCUUGCUACACCAUAGACUGUGAGUUGCGAACGGGUGAGUAACGCGUAGGUAACCUGCCUGGUAGCGGGGGAUAACUACUGGAAACGAUAGCUAAUACCGCAUAAUAUUAAUUAUUGCAUGAUAAUUAAUUGAAAGGUGCAAUUGCACCACUACCAGAUGGACCUGCGUUGUAUUAGCUAGUAGGUGAGGUAACGGCUCACCUAGGCGACGAUACAUAGCCGACCUGAGAGGGUGAUCGGCCACACUGGGACUGAGACACGGCCCAGACUCCUACGGGAGGCAGCAGUAGGGAAUCUUCGGCAAUGGACGAAAGUCUGACCGAGCAACGCCGCGUGAGUGAAGAAGGUUUUCGGAUCGUAAAGCUCGGUUGUAAGAGAAGAACGGGUGUGAGAGUGGAAAGUUCACACUGUGACGGUAUCUUACCAGAAAGGGACGGCUAACUACGUG